rnacentral:tRNA from 1 species
CGAAAUCGGUAGACGCUACGGACUUAMWUACCGUUGGCUUGACCGUGAGGGUUCAAGUCCCUCUACCCCCA